AAACGCAAAGGCCGGGGCCAGAAAAUCAGAGGGAUGUAAAAUCACCAUGUGUCUGGGUAGUCAUUAGAAGCCGCGAUGUACUGUACACAGGGCUGCUCUUUGAUGGGAAACGUCCCUCUCAUUACAAGAAAACUGGGCAGCGGCUCCCUGCUCUUACCACUGUAAUGUUCAUCCUUGCAACAUCCCAUGUCUUUGCUUUUUUAAGGGAGUGCACGGAGACAAGCUGGCUGACGGGCAGAUCUCAUGGACACGGGUUGUUUUCAUCAUCUCUCAAACAUUCAGAAUUGCAGACUGUCUUGAUUUAGAUUUACUAGACACGAUUUUCUUUCUUCCUUUAAAAAAAAAAAAGAAGUAGUUUAGAGACUCAACUAAACAAGUGACGAAAACCCCCUCAGGGCACUUUUUAAAAAUCCAUAUCUUUAUUUCUAUUCCGAAGAACUGUGGACCUCCAGCGGCAGGCUUGUAUGAAACAGGUCUUUUCGAAAGCAGCAGAGGCCUCUUCUUGUAAAUACAGAAAGGAGAUUAGCGAAGAUUGAAGGGAAGACUGAAAACGGCAUACGGACUUGUUGGAAGGUUUGCUGCACAUCUUUAAAAGGCCGUAACAUGAAAAAAGAAAUCGCCAUAAAUACCAACACUCAAACUGGUGAAACCAGUGCAUGCUCGCAGUGUGAAUCCCUGUACACAGGCUGCAUCAGUCUCACAGGAGACUCCGCCCCGAGUGAUGCUGCGCUACUGGAAACAGACAUCUCUGGAACUUCUCACAGCCUAAACCCGGGUUCUUCCAGACUUCCUGGUUUGUUCAGGCGUCUGCCGUCUGAAUGGGCCUUAAAGGUGGAAAGUGGGUCCUCAAUUCUGAAGACAACAACGGUCCAAAAGAGAAACAACUCGUUCGGAACCCUGGUGUGUUUCCUCACCUGUGUGUGUUUUCAUGUGCUCGUCAAAAUACUGUUUCAUGUUGAAGUCCUUGCCGCACCACUGGCACAUGAACUGCUUGUGUCCGAUGUGGAUGCUCAUGUGCGAGCGCAGCUGGUACUUGUACUGGAACCGCUCGUCGCAGUUCUACGGCGGAGACAUUCAGAGGAAAUCGGUCAGUUCACCAGCAGGAGCACAAGAACACGCACACACACAACAAUGGAACCUUUGAAUUAGGCUAAAGACUUUUCACAUUCGAACCAACAUUCAGUGUUUAAGAGAUGUGUAUAUGUGCAGGACUGUAUAUCCCAGUUUAUUUUGAACAUUCAGAAAGUAUGUUAAAGUUUUGUUGUGACUACUAAAUUAAUCGUCAACUAUUUUGAUAAUCGAUUUAUCGGUCAAGUAGUUUUUAUGGAAAAAAGGCAAAAUUCUCUGAUUUCAGCUUCUUAAAUGUGAAAAUUUU